rnacentral:rRNA from 1 species
GACGUAGGGUCCCAAGCGUUGUCCGGAUUUACUGGGCGUAAAGAGCGCGUAGGCGGCUCGUUAAGUGUAGAGUGAAAUCUCUGGGCUCACCCCAGAAACUGCUCUGCAUACUGGCGAGCUGGAGGGAUGGAGAGGCUUGUGGAAUUCCUGGUGUAGCGGUGAAAUGCGUUGAUAUCAGGAGGAACACCCAUGGCGAAGGCAGCAAGCUGGCCAUCACCUGACGCUGAGGCGCGAAAGCGUGGGUAGCAAACAGGAUUAGAAACCCU